rnacentral:tRNA from 1 species
UGCGAGGUGGAGCAGUCUGGCAGCUCGUCGGGCUCAUAACCCGAAGGUCGGGGGUUCAAAUCCCUCCCUCGCUACUA